rnacentral:rRNA from 1 species
AUUAAAGUUGUUGCAGUUAAAAAGCUUGUAGUUGGACUUGUGUGCGCUGUCCGCGGGUGGCCUGCGCCCAAAAGGGCGUUUCGGUUCGGCCCCGGUGGCGCCUUGAAAUCUGCAGCUGGGGGGACGUUGGCCUUAACUGGUCGGCGACCGCACGCCGGCUGCUCGGUUACUGUGAGAAAAUUAGAGUGUUCAAGGCAGGCAUUGGGUGCAAUUGAAUACAUUAGCAUGGAAUAAUAAAAUAUGGCUCCUGCCGUAUUUUGUUGGUUUUGACUGGUGGGAGUAAUGAUUGAUAGGGACGGUUGGGGGUGCUAGUAUUGAGCGGCCAGAGGUGAAAUUCAUGGAUUCGCUCAAGACUAACUUAUGCGAAAGCAUUCACCAAGGACGUCCUCUUUAAUCAAGAACGAAAGUUGGGGGAUCGAAGACGAUCAGAUACCGUCGUAGUCUCAACCAUAAACUAUGUCGACUUGGGAUCGGCGGUAGUUUUUUCAUUAAGACACUGUCGGGACCACGGGAGAAAUCAAAGUGUCUGGACUCUGGGGGAAGUAUGGUCGCAAGGCUGAAACUUGAAGGAAUUGACGGAAGGGCACCACCAGGAGUGGAGCCUGCGGCUUAAUUUGACCCAACACGGGGAAACUUACCAGGUCCAGAGAUGUAGAGGAUUGACAGAUUGAAGCUCUUUCUUGAUCACUUCGGUGGUGGUGCAUGGCCGUUCUUAGUUGGUGGAGUGAUUUGUCUGGCUAAUUCCGUUAACGAACGAGACCUCAGCCUGCUAGUGUAGUCGGCUGGAUUGCCUUUGGCGAUCCGUGAUUUCGACUUCUUAGAGGGACAAUCGACGCGCAGUCGAUGGAAGUUUGAGGCAAUAACAGGUCUGUGAUGCCCUUAGAUGUUCUGGGCCGCACGCGCGCUACACUGCUGGGCUCAGCGAGCUUUACUUGGCCGAGAGGCCCGGUUAAUCUUGUGAAAUCCCAGCGUGCUUGGGCUCGCCUCCUGCAACUGGAGGCGCCAACGAGGAAUUCCUAGUAGACGCAGGUCAUCAACCUGCAUCGAUUACGCCCCUGCCCUUUGUACACACCGCCCGUCGUUCCAUAAGAGUGAGGCAUCCGGUGAAUACUCGGGAGAGCCUGGGCGUGGCCAGCAAUGGUCUGCUCGGGUUUGAACGUGCAUAAACUUGGUGCCUAUGAUUAGGG